GAAGAAACAGGCUUGAAAGAACAUUUGUAUUGAACUGAUAUCAGAGCUUCAGAGUUGUCCGGGCUUGCAUGAGACAAGGCCUGUGAAGUACCCAGCAAAGCAGACAGCAGCUUCCAUGCCUUUCUCCCAUGUUCCUCCAGUCCCAACAUCUCACCUUUCCAUGAACUCCUUUAAUAGAGAACUGUACCUCCUCCUGCAUUCAUCAAAGACCUUCUCUCAGAGGAGGUUAUGAAGAGGGGAAGGUCAGGCUACACAGACCCAACCAUUGCUGAGUGAAAUCCAUGUGACUCCAGAGGAGCUGGGGAAUUCCUCUUCUCAUAGUUUCCUCGGUACAAUGGAAGUUUGUUGUGUGAGACAGCAUCUCUCACAGGGACCUGGAGCUCACCAGUUAGGGGACACUUGCUGACCAGAGAGCACCCCCAGUUCCUCCUCUCUCCUUUUUGCCCCCCCAGAAUUGAAAUUUCAAGCGUGCCUCGGUGCCAAGCUUUUUAUAUGGGUGCUGAGGAGUUAAACCCAGGUCCCCAUACUUGUACAGCAGGCAUGUGACAGACUGAGAUCUCACUGCAACCAAGCAGAAGACAAGCCUCAAGACAGC
rnacentral:lncRNA from 1 species